rnacentral:lncRNA from 1 species
UAUAAUUAAGUCAAUUAAAUUACUAAUUAUUUUAAAAAACAUGCAAAGUCAAAUAGAUCACAAAAACAAAAAGUAAAACAAAAGGUUAUUAGACACGUGUAUCAUAUUGCAACUAUAUUUAAUAUUUUAUCCUAUCUUAUUUAUAAAUUAAAUAUAAAAAAAGAACAAAUUCAAAAUGAAGAAGAAGAAAAAACCAAACUUAAAUCCAAAAUCUCAAAAAGAUGCUCGAACAAAA